AGAGUUUGAUCAUGGCUCAGGAUGAACGCUAGCGGCAGGCCUAAUACAUGCAAGUCGAACGCCCAGCAAUGGGAGUGGCGCACGGGUGCGUAACGCGUAUGCAACCUACCUUAAACUGGGGGAUAGCCUUCCGAAAGGAAGAUUAAUACCCCAUAGUAUCACGAGAGGGCAUCUGAUUGUGAUUAAAGAUUUAUCGGUUUAAGAUGGGCAUGCGUGACAUUAGCUAGUUGGUGAGGUAACGGCUCACCAAGGCUACGAUGUCUAGGGGUUCUGAGAGGAUGAUCCCCCACACUGGUACUGAGAUACGGACCAGACUCCUACGGGAGGCAGCAGUAGGGAAUAUUGGGCAAUGGACGGAAGUCUGACCCAGCCAUGCCGCGUGCAGGAAGAAGGCCUUCUGGGUUGUAAACUGCUUUUAUCUAGGAAGAAAAAGCCCAUGCGUGGGAAACUGACGGUACUAGAUGAAUAAGCACCGGCUAACUCCGUGCCAGCAGCCGCGGUAAUACGGAGGGUGCAAGCGUUGUCCGGAUUUAUUGGGUUUAAAGGGUGCGUAGGCGGCUUAUUAAGUCAGUGGUGAAAGCCAACAGCUCAACUGUUGAACUGCCAUUGAUACUGAUGAGCUUGAGUACAGACGAGGUAGGCGGAAUUGAAGAUGUAGCGGUGAAAUGCAUAGAUAUCUUCAAGAACACCGAUUGCGUAGGCAGCUUACUAGGCUGUAACUGACGCUGAGGCACGAAAGCGUGGGGAGCGAACAGGAUUAGAUACCCUAGUAGUCC
rnacentral:rRNA from 1 species